rnacentral:tRNA from 1 species
GCCAGGGUGGCGAAAUUGGCAGACGCGCAGGGCUUAGGACUCUGUUCCCGAUACAAUCGGGAUUGGAGGUUCAAAUCCUCUCCCUGGCA